rnacentral:rRNA from 1 species
AUUGAACGCUGGCGGCAGGCUUAACACAUGCAAGUCGAGCGGAGAUGAGGUGCUUGCACCUUAUCUUAGCGGCGGACGGGUGAGUAAUGCUUAGGAAUCUGCCUAUUAGUGGGGGACAACAUUCCGAAAGGAAUGCUAAUACCGCAUACGCCCUACGGGGGAAAGCAGGGGAUCUUCGGACCUUGCGCUAAUAGAUGAGCCUAAGUCGGAUUAGCUAGUUGGUGGGGUAAAGGCCUACCAAGGCGACGAUCUGUAGCGGGUCUGAGAGGAUGAUCCGCCACACUGGGACUGAGACACGGCCCAGACUCCUUCGGGAGGCAGCAGUGGGGAAUAUUGGACAAUGGGCGGAAGCCUGAUCCAGCCAUGCCGCGUGUGUGAAGAAGGCCUUUUGGUUGUAAAGCACUUUAAGCGAGGAGGAGGCUACCUAGAUUAAUACUCUGGGAUAGUGGACGUUACUCGCAGAAUAAGCACCGGCUAACUCUGUGCCAGCAGCCGCGGUAAGAC